rnacentral:rRNA from 1 species
AGAGUUUGAUCAUGGCUCAGAACGAACGCUGGCGGCGUGCCUAACACAUGCAAGUCGAACGGAUUUGAGGGGCUUGCUCCUCAAGUUAGUGGCGCACGGGUGAGUAACGCGUAGAUAAUCUGCCUGAUGAUCCGGGAUAACACUUCGAAAGGGGUGCUAAUACCGGAUAAGCCCACGGGGUCUUUGGAUUCUGCGGGAAAAGGGGGGGACCUUCGGGCCUUCUGUCAUCAGAUGAGUCCGCGUACCAUUAGCUAGUUGGUAGGGUAAUGGCCUACCAAGGCUACGAUGGUUAGCUGGUUUGAGAGAAUGAUCAGCCACACUGGAACUGAGACACGGUCCAGACUCCUACGGGAGGCAGCAGUGGGGAAUUUUGCGCAAUGGGCGAAAGCCUGACGCAGCAACGCCGCGUGAGUGAUGAAGGCUUUCGGGUCGUAAAGCUCUGUCGAGGGGAAAGAAGUGUAUUGUGGCUAAUAUCCGCGAUACUUGACGGUACCCCUAAAGGAAGC